UUGACGGGGAGCACCACAACGGGUGGAGCUUGCGGUUUAAUUGGAUUCAACGCCGGAAAUCUUACCGGGACCGACAGCAAUAUGAAGGCCAGGCUGAAGACUUUGCCGGAUUAGCUGAGAGGUGGUGCAUGGCCGUCGUCAGUUCGUACUGUGAAGCAUCCUGUUAAGUCAGGCAACGAGCGAGACCCACGCCCACAGUUGCCAGCGUACUCUCCGGAGUGACGGGUACACUGUGGGACCGCCGCUGCUAAAGCGGAGGAAGGAAUGGGCAACGGUAGGUCAGUAUGCCCCGAAUAUCCCGGGCUACACGCGAGCUACAAUGGUUGGUACAAUGGGUAUCUACCCCGAAAGGGGACGGGAAUCUCCUAAACCAAUCUUAGUUCGGAUUGAGGGCUGCAACUCGCCCUCAUGAAGCUGGAAUCCGUAGUAAUCGCGUUUCAACAGAACGCGGUGAAUACGUCCCUGCUCCUU
rnacentral:rRNA from 1 species